AUCCCAGUGUCAUGAAACCUGUGACUUACAGACAGUCUCUUCCCUCUGCUGUGCAUCUGUGGCCCCACUUGCAAAGAGGCAGGAUGGAAUCCACAUGGCUUUUUGGAAUAGCUUCAGUAUGCCCCUUCACCGGCCACUUCGUACAUGUGGGGGGUGGACUCCCCAGACUGGAGGACCGAUCUCUCCAUGUGAUGUGAUUUCUUUACUAACAACUUCAGAUAUACAUCAAUUCCUCACUCUGUGAGCAGUGGGCAAGACACACACGUCUGCAAUGAAGAGACCAAAGCCAAAUGGGGCCAUGCCACGGAACAAAAGAAUUUUUUGACUCACCAGGAAGGAGACAGCAGGACAUGAACGCUUUCAUAGUGGAACCAAAAUGACCAAAGUGGAAUGUUUAUGUUCUGGGCUCAGUGCUCAGUAGCAUAACCACGUCCCACUGCUGUCGGGGCAACAUCAGAGCCAGCGUUGGUCACCAUGAAGGUAGAAUGGGACCAGUGUUGAAACUCUGCCCAGGCUGAGUGUGUGGGAUUCCUGGAAAUCAUGCCUGGCAGAGUCUUGGACUCCUGAAACCAGGUUUGCAAAAUAGGGAGUUUCAAGAAAGAGAGCGUGAGCGAGGGAGAGAAAGGCAGAGGGACGGAGGGACAUGACAAGAUUCUAACUAAUUUGCCAGAUUUGGCCUGCUGCCUCCUCUUUUCUUCUGGAAAAUAUCCACUUGGGCUCAUUAGAAUGGAAUUUCAGGGCAGCUAGAGCUGAGAAUCCAAGGGGUCUGCAUGGGAGCUCGUGGUCUCCUGCAGUGGAGGAAGUGGGACAUUUGUCUCUGUUGCUGUUCCUGCUGGGUCCUGAGUGUGACUGGGGCAAAGCCUGGUUCCUCUCUCUACUUGUAAUUUAUGUUUCAUAUUUUAUUUGUUGGACACAUCUUUUAGGAUAAAUAAAA